CCAGAGCCCACCGGCCGUGAACCCCAUGCCCCCGAGGUGGAAGUCCUCUACUCCUGCACCACCAACCCAGGCACCGUCCAGCUGGUGUGCUUAAUCUCCGGCUUCUACCCCAAGGCUUUGGUGGUGGAAUGGCUGGUGGACGGCGAGCAUGGGCUACUUCAAAGUGAAAUCUACCCUGACAAGAAGAACCAAGAUGGCACCUUCAGCACCCGCAGCAAUGCCAGUGUCUCCCAGAGCGAGUGGCUGGCGGGCAAGACGUACACUUGCCAGGUGUCCCACCCGGGCACCGCUACCAAAAAGCAGGACCACGCCCGCAAGUGCGAAGGUGACUGUCCCCAGGGCUAG